UACAGAGGUCUCAAGCGUUGUUCGGAUUCAUUGGGCGUAAAGGGUGCGUAGGUGGCGCCGUAAGUCGGGUGUGAAAUUUCGGAGCUUAACUCCGAAACUGCAUUCGAUACUGCGGCGCUUGAGGACUGGAGAGGAGACUGGAAUUCAUGGUGUAGCAGUGAAAUGCGUAGAGAUCAUGAGGAAGACCAGUGGCGAAGGCGGGUCUCUGGACAGUUCCUGACACUGAGGCACGAAGGCCAGGGGAGCAAACGGG
rnacentral:rRNA from 1 species